rnacentral:rRNA from 1 species
UACAGAGGGCUCAAGCGUUGUUCGGAUUCAUUGGGCGUAAAGGGUGCGUAGGCGGCAGUGCAAGUCAGGUGUGAAAUCCCGGGGCUCAACCCCGGAACUGCACUUGAUACUGCUCUGCUAGAGUACUGGAGAGGAGACUGGAAUUUACGGUGUAGCAGUGAAAUGCGUAGAUAUCGUAAGGAACACCAGUGGCGAAGGCGAGUCUCUGGACAGUUACUGACGCUGAGGCGCGAAGGCCAGGGGAGCAAACGGG